CCCCAAACUCAGAUUUGUGGAGCCUCUCAGUUUAAAUGACUAAUGGACUAGCUGUAGUUUUUGAGUCCCUAUUCCAAAUUAUUGAAGGAACAAACAAAGUUCUCUGGCUUGCACCCACAGUCCACUCUGGUUUCAGCCAUCUCUAGCCUGGCUCAGCAGGCCUGGAGGGAUGAUGCUGUCGACUCGUAGGCCAUGAGUUCCACUCCUUAAUGGGCAGGUAGGAGCAACUAUGAUGACAAGCUAGGCCCAGAGAAGAGGACAUGAGCCAGGCCAGCACCACAGUUAUAGGUAAACUGUGGACAUGUGAAAUCUGAGACAGGCGAAUUUAUUUUCUGCUUAUACUGCUAAAGAGACCCAAGAACUGGAGAAGUUCUUCUUAAGAUUGAACUGAGGUUUUGGAGAAGCACCUGAAGAAAUGAGAAAGGAAAGACGCACACACACAGUUGCCUGGUUGGCCAACUCCGGGUGUCAGAUGGAGACACAGGUGUGGCAGAUUGAUCACCAGCAACCUAUGUAGAAUUGCCAGCUAAGUUUAGGAUAGAAGUCAUUUUGACAUCCCCAAAUAGGAAGAAUUUACCCUUUGGAAUUCUUCUGAGAGCUGAUUGUAUAUCUAACAAAUACUUAAUUGUUUGUUGAUUGAUUGAUUAUUUUUUUUUAGUAUUGAAGACAAAAUGUUUAUUUUUUUCAAAGAAAAAUGGCAAUAGCCAAUUAGAAACCUACUUAUUUUUUCAACUGCAAUUUUAUUUUCAUUUCAUGGAGAAGUGACUUACUGACUUAAUAUUUUAAAUAGCUCCUUCCCCUUCUCAUCUGAAGUUUAUUGCCUACUUGUGGUGAAUCCUUCCAAAGAGAUCAUUCCACUGUCCCUCAAGUUCUGAGGCUUUGUUUCUUAUACCAAAAAAUGCAAAAUGUAAUUUCAUAGUGUUAUAUGUGUGUGUCAAUUGUUAAAAAUGAAAAAAAUUUGGAAUAGGCAAUUAAGUUGAAUUUUUUAAAAAUCCACACAAAUGGGGCUUGGUUGAAGCAGAAAUCCAUUCCUGUGCUCCGGGACAUCUGAUUUGGCUCCAUGAGUCUUUGUAAAUUUCUUUUUUAUCCUAGCCACAUUAUGAUUUUAAGAAUAUUAAUUCAAAUGUA
rnacentral:lncRNA from 10 species